rnacentral:lncRNA from 1 species
CAAUAUCCUCUUGGUCCUUCUCUUGAACUUGAGCACUUUGCUCAAUGUUCUUGCUUGUCCCUAUUGCCCUUACCCUUCUCCCAAGCCUCCAAAAAAGCCUCCCGUUGUGAAACCACCGGUUCACAAACCACCAAAACCAUGUCCACCACCCAAGUCAUCUCCAAAACCACCCCAUGUACACCCUCCCUAUGUUCCAAAACCUCCUCACUACCCUAAACCACCAGUUCAUCCACAUCCACCCCAUGUCCCAAAACCUCAUCCAAAGCCUCCAGUGCAUCCCCAUCCACCUUAUGUCCCAAAACCACCAGUUGUGCCAGUUACACCACCAUAUGUUCCAAAACCACCAAUUGUGAACCCUCCCUAUGUCCCAAAACCGCCUGUUGUGCCAGUUACACCACCUUAUAUCCCUAAACCACCAGUUGUGACACCACCAUAUGUCCCUAAACCACCAGUGGUGCCAGUUACACCACCAUAUGUCCCUAAACCACCAGUGGUGCCAGUUACACCACCUUAUGUGCCAAAACCACCCAUUGUGAAACCACCAAUUGUUUAUCCACCAGUUGUGCCAAAACCACCAAUUGUUACACCACCUUAUGUGCCAAAACCACCCAUUGUGAAACCACCAAUUGUUUAUCCACCAGUUGUGCCAAAACCACCAAUUGUUACACCACCUUAUGUGCCAAAACCACCCAUUGUGAAACCACCAAUUGUUUAUCCACCAGUUGUGCCAACACCACCUAUUGUGUAUCCACCUGUUGUACCAACUCCACCGGUGGUUACUCCACCCGUGGUUACACCACCAAGUCCUCCAAGUGAAACACCAUGUCCACCACCACCACCACCAGUGGUGCCAUACCCACCACCAGCACAACCAACAUGCCCCAUCGACACCCUAAAACUGGGGGCAUGUGUGGAUGUGCUUGGUGGC